GUGGGGAAUCUUAGACAAUGGGGGCAACCCUGAUCUAGCCAUGCCGCGUGAGUGAUGAAGGCCUUAGGGUCGUAAAGCUCUUUCGCUGGGGAAGAUAAUGACGGUACCCAGUAAAGAAACCCCGGCUAACUCCGUGCCAGCAGCCGCGGUAAUACGGAGGGGGUUAGCGUUGUUCGGAAUUACUGGGCGUAAAGCGCGCGUAGGCGGAUUGGAAAGUUGGGGGUGAAAUCCCGGGGCUCAACCCUGGAAUGGCCUUCAAAACUCCCAGUCUUGAGGUCGAGAGAGGUGAGUGGAAUUCCGAGUGUAGAGGUGAAAUUCGUAGAUAUUCGGAGGAACACCAGUGGCGAAGGCGGCUCACUGGCUCGAUACUGACGCUGAGGUGCGAAAGCGUGGGGAGCAAACAGGAUUAGAUACCCUAGUAGUCC
rnacentral:rRNA from 1 species